rnacentral:rRNA from 1 species
UACGGAGGGUGCAAACGUUGCUCGGAAUUAUUGGGCGUAAAGCGCACGUAGGCGGCUCGACAAGUCGGGGGUGAAAUCCCUCGGCUCAACCGAGGAAGUGCAUUCGAAACUGGCGAGCUAGAGUACUGAAGAGGGUCGCGGAAUUCCCGGUGUAGAGGUGAAAUUCGUAGAUAUCGGGAGGAACACCAGUGGCGAAGGCAGCGACCUGGGCAGAUACUGACGCUGAGGUGCGAAAGCGUGGGGAGCAAACAGG